AAAAAGAGGAGUGGCGAACGGGUGAGUAACACGUGGGUAACCUGCCCAUCAGAAGGGGAUAACACUUGGAAACAGGUGCUAAUACCGUAUAACAAUCGAAACCGCAUGGUUUUGAUUUGAAAGGCGCUUUCGGGUGUCGCUGAUGGAUGGACCCGCGGUGCAUUAGCUAGUUGGUGAGGUAACGGCUCACCAAGGCCACGAUGCAUAGCCGACCUGAGAGGGUGAUCGGCCACAUUGGGACUGAGACACGGCCCAAACUCCUACGGGAGGCAGCAGUAGGGAAUCUUCGGCAAUGGACGAAAGUCUGACCGAGCAACGCCGCGUGAGUGAAGAAGGUUUUCGGAUCGUAAAACUCUGUUGUUAGAGAAGAACAAGGAUGAGAGUAACUGUUCAUCCCUUGACGGUAUCUAACCAGAAAGCCACGGCUAACUACGUGCCAGCAGCCGCGGUAAUACGUAGGUGGCAAGCGUUGUCCGGAUUUAUUGGGCGUAAAGCGAGCGCAGGCGGUUUCUUAAGUCUGAUGUGAAAGCCCCCGGCUCAACCGGGGAGGGUCAUUGGAAACUGGGAGACUUGAGUGCAGAAGAGGAGAGUGGAAUUCCAUGUGUAGCGGUGAAAUGCGUAGAUAUAUGGAGGAACACCAGUGGCGAAGGCGGCUCUCUGGUCUGUAACUGACG
rnacentral:rRNA from 1 species